rnacentral:rRNA from 1 species
UACGGAGGGUGCAAGCGUUAUCCGGAUUCACUGGGUUUAAAGGGUGUGUAGGCGGAUAUUUAAGUCCGAGGUGAAAUCUCUGAGCUCAACUCAGAAACUGCCUUGGAUACUAUUUAUCUUGAAUAUCGUUGAGGUAGGCGGAAUAUGUCAUGUAGCGGUGAAAUGCUUAGAUAUGACAUAGAACACCGAUUGCGAAGGCAGCUUGCUAAACGAUUAUUGACGCUGAGGCACGAAAGCGUGGGGGAUCAAACAGG